GAAGAACUGCAAAAGGAAAUGUAACUGUGCCAACAAUGGCCAUUGCCACAGGAUGUAUGGCGCCCAUAUGUGUGAGCCAGGGUGCUAUGGGAGGUUUUGUCAUCUGAGUAACUUGCAGGCACUUAGUUUGCUCUGUGUGUAAAGCGUGAAGACACAGAAAAGUGCAGAGACUACUGUCAGACAAAGGAAGAGACUAAUGCCUCUGAAAAUCUUUCCUGAUUGAACUUCAG
rnacentral:lncRNA from 1 species